rnacentral:rRNA from 1 species
AACGAACGCUGGCGGCAGGCCUAACACAUGCAAGUCGAGCGCCCCGCAAGGGGAGCGGCGGACGGGUGAGUAACGCGUGGGAACGUACCCUUUGCUACGGAAUAGCCUCGGGAAACUGGGAGUAAUACCGUAUGUGUCCUUCGGGAGAAAGAUUUAUCGGCAAGGGAUCGGCCCGCGUUGGAUUAGGUAGUUGGUGGGGUAAUGGCCUACCAAGCCGACGAUCCAUAGCUGGUUUGAGAGGAUGAUCAGCCACACUGGGACUGAGACACGGCCCAGACUCCUACGGGAGGCAGCAGUGGGGAAUCUUAGACAAUGGGCGCAAGCCUGAUCUAGCCAUGCCGCGUGAGCGAUGAAGGCCUUAGGGUUGUAAAGCUCUUUCAGGGGGGAAGAUAAUGACUGUACCCCCAGAAGAAGCCACGGCUAACUCCGUG